CUACUGGCUGAGAAGAGCAGAUUAUUCGGCAGAAGGUUGUCAUCAUCUUCAACAUCAUCUUCACCAUGAAGAUGUGGACUGUGUGUGCACUUCUUUGUGCCAUGAUGGCUCUGGCUACAGCUCACUGGGUUCCAGAAGAA